AACAUUUUCUAACAGAUUAGAUUAUUCGUUGAAAUCCAAAUAUAGGGUUGCUGGUGAUAUAUUGCAAAUAAACACUUAAUUUACUUUCGUAAAUCACGAAAAACCUACAAAAGAUAAGGCAGGUAUAAAAGCAGGAAGCAAAUUGUUAUCCACAGUUCAUUCAAAAUGAAGUUGUUAGCUAUUACAGUCGUCUGCCUUGCCGUUGCCUGCAAUGCUCAAAAAUAUAAGCGUUGCCGCGCCGAAAAAUGCGACGAAUCGACGAUCUAGAGGUACAAAGACAACAGUUGAUCAAGUUUCCUUUCGGGUGUCUCAAUUCGUCCCCAGGACAAAUUUAACAAGUGCACCAAACAAAUUGAGGUACGCCACGAUAAGGGAUGCGAUAAAUGCGACGAUGCCGCACUGAAGAACAGCAUUGAUCAACUUCAAAAAAUUAACUUCAAAUGCUUCCGCACAAGAUUCUUGGGCUACUUCAACGAUCAACUCGGCUCAAACGAUUGGGAUAACGAUAAAUGUCCGGGGCCCAAAUUGAAUAAGUACUUCCAAGAUGCUUAUGACAACCUUCCAGACGUUUAAAUACAGUUUCCAUUAAACAUUAAUUUUAUCUCUCAUUGUAUUCUAAUUAAAGGUCUCAACGAAA